AGUGAACGCUGGCGGUAGGCCUAACACAUGCAAGUCGAACGGCAGCACAGUAAGAGCUUGCUCUUACGGGUGGCGAGUGGCGGACGGGUGAGGAAUACAUCGGAAUCUACUUUUUCGUGGGGGAUAACGUAGGGAAACUUACGCUAAUACCGCAUACGACCUACGGGUGAAGGCAGGGGAUCUUCGGACCUUGCGCGAUUGAAUGAGCCGAUGUCGGAUUAGCUAGUUGGCGGGGUAAAGGCCCACCAAGGCGACGAUCCGUAGCUGGUCUGAGAGGAUGAUCAGCCACACUGGAACUGAGACACGGUCCAGACUCCUACGGGAGGCAGCAGUGGGGAAUAUUGGACAAUGGGCGCAAGCUUGAUCCAGCCAUACCGCGUGGGUGAAGAAGGCCUUCGGGUUGUAAAGCCCUUUUGUUGGGAAAGAAAAGCAGCAGGUUAAUACCCCGCUGUUCUGACGGUACCCAAAGAAUAAGCACCGGCUAACUUCGUG
rnacentral:rRNA from 1 species